GUUCCUGUAGCGCAAUGAAUAGCGCGCGUUGGACUUCUAAUCCAAAGGCCGCGAGUUCGAAUCCCGCUUGGGAUG